rnacentral:lncRNA from 1 species
GGAGUUGAGAGCAGCCCAGGUGAGCGGUGUGACCUGUGACUCUGAAGACGCGGAGGACUCAGAUGACAUGUUGGACUUCCCAGGAGCAGAGAAGUUACUAUCUAAGCAAUCGCAAGGUCUGGAUGCUGAUUCGCCGGCUGAGGGCACCUCUCAAGAGAAUCCUGCCAUGGUAGAGCAGCUUCGCAGAAAAGUAGAGGAAAUUACCUCCCAGAAUGCCGACCUGGUUCUCAAAGUGCAGAUGCUGGAAAUGUUUGAGAAGGAUGACACGGAUAUGCAGAGCUCGGGCCCAGAUUUUGUUCCCACAGCUCAGUAUGAAUCUUUAAGGAGAGAGUUUGAGGAACUACAGGAGAAAUACUCAAGAGCCCAGGCUUCAACUGAAGCCUCAAGCAUCGCAGAGGAUCAUGGGUAAUAUGGUUAAAAUGAGAUCAGACUAAUAUUUUAUCAAUCUUUUUCU